GCUCAGUUGGUAAAGCACAAGGCUUUUAACCUUGUGGACGUGGAUUCAAGUCUCAU
rfam:Triticum urartu cultivar G1812 contig1145204, whole genome shotgun sequence.